rnacentral:rRNA from 1 species
AACAAACGCUGGCGGCGUGCCUAACACAUGCAAGUCGUACGAGAAAGGGUCCUUCGGGACCUGAGUAAAGUGGCGCACGGGUGAGUAGCGCGUGGAUAAUCUACCCUUCAGUUGGGAACAACUCAUCGAAAGGUGGGCUAAUACCGAAUAAUACUGCUCGACCUUGGUCGAGCAGCCAAAGAGAGCCUCUGCUUGCAAGCCCUCGCUGAAGGAUGAGUUCGCGUACCAUUAGCUUGUUGGUAGGGUAAUGGCCUACCAAGGCGACGAUGGUUAGCUGGUCUGAGAGGAUGAUCAGCCACACUGGAACUGAGACACGGUCCAGACUCCUACGGGAGGCAGCAGUGAGGAAUCUUGCGCAAUGGGGGAAACCCUGACGCAGCAACGCCGCGUGAGUGAGGAAGGUCUUCGGAUCGUAAAGCUCUGUCAGUUGGAAAGAAAUGUCUGAGAGUCAAUCCCUUUCAGGCUUGACGGUACCAACAGAGGAAGCACCGGCUAACUCCGUGCCAGCAGCCGCGGUAAUAC